rnacentral:rRNA from 1 species
CGCAUCUGUGCAUGUAGCAUAUCAAUAAGCGGAGGAAAAGAAACUAACAAGGAUUCCCCUAGUAACGGCGAGUGAAGCGGGAAGAGCUCAAAUUUGAAAUCUUAAAGGGUUUCCCUUUACGAAUUGUAGUUUAAAGAAGUGUUUUCUGUUGAGGUUUUGGUAAAAGUUCUUUGGAAUAGGACAUCAUAGAGGGUGAGAAUCCCGUAUUUGACCUUUACUUUCAACUUUGUGAUACACUUUCAAAGAGUCGGAUUGUUUGGGAAUGCAGUCCAAAAUGGGUGGUAAAUUUCAUCUAAAGCUAAAUAUUGGCGAGAGACCGAUAGCGAACAAGUACCGUGAGGGAAAGAUGAAAAGAACUUUGAAAAGAGAGUUAACCAGUACGUGAAAUUGUCAAAAGGGAAGCGUUUGACACCAGUGUUGUUUUUCUGAAAAUCAAUUAAAGAACUGUUUAUGCUAAGUUGUUUAGACUUUAUCAGCUAUCUGUUUAGUUUUGAGCUUUUCUUUAAUGCACUUUUCAGUUAACAAGUCAACAUCAAUUUCUUUUGCUGUAAAAAAGCUUGCGGAAGGUGGCUUGAGAUUCGUCUUAAGUGUUUAUAGCCUCUUGCCUAUGCAGUCGGAGAGAUUGAGGUCUGCAGCGUAGAUCCUUCGGGGCUAAAUGCAUUUGUGCUAAGUUAUAACAUUUUAUAGACAACUUGUUGACUAUGAUUUGUCUUGUAGCUUACUCGCUUAUGCUAUUUUACCUACGCUUAGGAUGUUGACAGCAGUAUAGACUGU